CAGCAGAACAGUUUACCUCCCAAAUGCCAAAUGAGGAAUCAAAACAAACCCAACCAAGUCGAUGGCGAUAAUUGGAAUAAUUCUACAUUUGUUUUAAUUUUGAAUAAUAGACAUAAGACUCUGGAUAGUCAACAUAUUAAAAAUGAGAAAGUAAGCCUCUGAGUAUGGGGUCGCAAACAUAGGAGGAUACAUCCUUCCCCGCUAAAAUAGAAGAAUUUCAAAUAAUAUUAAAGAAUAAAGCGAAAGGAAACGCAUUGAUGCAAAGGCGAGUAUUAUCAGUACGAAAUACCAAGGAUUCUUCUAUAGUGACUAUUGAAAGCAGCAUUGUUGGCCCUUGAUUGCAGUUGUUACACAACAUGAGUGGCACUAGUAGUGUUCCAGGUAGUGUAGUAGUGCCUCCAUCCCCUGUGUCUUUGCACGCGCAAACGAAACAGGUACAACAGCAUCUGGUUAACGAGAUCCCCGUUCCGGUCAGCUACAUAGCCAACUGCCGGCUCUGCUUGGGUACACAUUUUGGAACCAGAUGUACAACCAUUAUUGACGCACCGUUAAUCAACAUGAUGAGACAGGUAUUCCCAGUGAUGAUAGAGAACCGGGUAGGUCUUCCGAUGAAUGUAUGCACCGAAUGCAUAAAGACGGUGGAGGCAUUUUACAUAUACAGCAGACAGGUGUUGGAAAAUCAGAAUAGGCUGUUAGCAACCUUACCGGAUGUAAUACGUCCGGUACAAAAUAAUGAUGGUGUGGAAUGUAGAGAAAAUCCGGUCUCGACACAAGAACCACAAGAGAACGAUCUCCGUGAGGAAUCGGAGGCUCCGAUUGAUACGGAUUUGUUGAUAAAAAUAGAAAAAGACGAUGAACAAGAAGGUUCCGACCCAUUGGCAACUACUGAAGAUAUUGUAUUCGAUGUCAUCGACGAAAUUCCCGAUUUCAAGCUAGAAGAAGAGGCAAUUGAUCUAUUCGAGCUAAACUCUGAUGCUGGGAUGGACCCACUAUUUAAGGAAACAACAAACCCACUCGAGAUAAAUCCUGAUGCUGGGAUCAACUUACAAUUGGAGGUUAAGGAAGAAAUGUUAACAGAUCCGUCACCUGAUAGUGUCGCAGAUAGCGAAACACUUGUGCAAGAUUCACUUGUCAAGGAAAAACCGAAGAAACAAUCUAAACGGAAUGUUCCAAUAAAAUGUAGAUUUUUCGAUCGUCCGCUUAACUUCUGUCCAGUGCAUAGUAUCUGGUUUGAACUCAAGCAAAUCAGUAGCGAAUCGGAGCUAAUAGCAAUGAACCGUCGAUUAAAAGACGAUAAAUUUAUGCAGCAGCUGAUAAACUGCUUUCAACAUAUAGCGGAAGAAUCAAGUUGGGUUGACUUGAUGAAUAAGUCGAUGGACAUUCUGUUUGACGUGGACUUCCUUGCAUCCUGUGACUGGCGCAAUGUGGAGGGAAAAAUACCUCUGCAACAUCAUUUGAAAAUUCAUGAGCUGUUCAAUAGGUUGGAUACGCCGAAAGGAAAAAAAUUGGCAGGUAAAAUCCAGAGCUUCUUUAUCGUGAAAAUACAACUCGCAAGACGACGAGCUCAAGAAUCAUUAGAAGGCGAAUUCCAGAGCGAUGAAUUGCCAUCAGAAAACCAAGUGGAGGCGAUCCUACGCAACCUGGCACCAAAAAGUGGAGAAGAAAACGCCAUACAAGCCCAAGUUUCUACUUUCGCACAACGAUUGAAGAAACGGCGUAGAAUUCAUCCAUCGAUGCGAGAAGUUCUUAUUCAGGCACGUAAUAAUUGUUGUCCGCUGAAACUCAAGCAAAUUAGAAGCCUUCCAGAGCUCAUCGAGCUUAAUCGUCGACUAGAAGAUGAAGAUUUUACAAAGCAAGUCAUAAAGUAUUUGCAGUAUGAGACAAAAGAACCCAGGGCAGAUCUCCUGAUGAAUAAGUCGUUGGACAUGUUGGUUGAUAAGCAUUUCUUUGCGACCUGCAACUGGCGUGCAGAUAAUCGACACUCAUUGAAGCAACAUUCAAAGUUUCUGGAGCUGUUCGGUAGGUUGGGUGCGUCGGAAGGAAUAAAACUGCCAGGAAUUAAAGUUGCUGCUUAUUUUAAACAUCGCCUUACCUAUGUAAAACAACGAGUAAAGUUUUACAAUCCGUCAAGCGGAACAACGGAUGAAGCAAAUUCUAACGGUGAUACAGAACUGCACGAAGAGAACAUUUUGCGCGAUAGCAUAGGUGAUACACCGUGUAAAAGUGUAGAAGAAAGUGUAGAACAAGCUCAGGAUACAGAUUUCAGAAAUGUACAAAAGAAACGUAAUCUCAAAGCACCAAUGCGAUUUGUUCGAUUCAAUUCGGGUGCAAGUAGCUGCAAUGUACCUGCAAAACUCGAUCUCAGGCAAUGUACCAGCGAACCAGAGAUAGCAGAGCUUAAUCGUCGACUGGAAGACAAAGAGUACAUGAAGCAGAUCGUCAGUUACAUACAGUAUGAAACGGGAGAGUCAAGGCCCGAUCGUUUGAUGAAAAAAUCGUUUGACAUUCUGUUUCGCAGACGCUUCUUCGCCGGUGUAUGUUGGACCGGAACAGGUGAAAAAAUAGCUUUCAAACAUAAUUCAAAUAUACUAGAACUGUUUGCAAGGUUAGGUGCGUCAAACGGCCUAAAUGCAUCAUCAGAACAAGUAAAAAAGUUUUUUCACAUUAGAUGUAAAAACGCCGUGAAACUGGUUACAGGGAAACGUAGUGGUUGAUGGGAAAAGUAAAUAAAACAUAUAAAAUCAUAAAAUCAUUAUUUUUAACAGCGUUUAAAAUUGUUUUUUUUUUCUACUGCUAUACAACGACGAUAUAUUCUUCGGUCCUAUCCUACUUGUUGUGGGCAGCUGUGCGUACCGACCCCUGGACUUGCCGUGGCAGUUGCGCUGUCACCGGUCAACGGCCAGAAGGACGCACACUGUCGCACACACUAAGCAGCGCAAGGCUUAGUGUGUGCCGAGCGCAAGAUUAGAGUGUGUAAGCGAACCGAUCGAGCAGGAGCGCUCGGUGCGGCUAGUGCGCGGCCCGUGCAGUAUAUCAUUUAAAAGUGUUCAUUGUGAUUGUUAAUUGUGUAUCUUAUUUAUUAUGUAUGUUAUAAGUGUUUGAAUAAAAGCAAAAUUAUCAAACAUAACACAUUGGUUUGUGGCUCUCCUAUGUAGCUGAAGCCUACCAAGGGAUCGAGCAGGCGGCAGGGAAUCUCGGAUUGCAGAUAAACGAGACAAAUACCAAACACAUGGUGGCAACAUUAGCGCUCCUACCAAUAAAUAAUCCAAACCUACGGAGGCGUGACGUACAGAUAGGUGAACGCACUUUUGAAAUCGUCCCAAAAUUCACCUAUUUUUAAAGGUCAAAGGUCAGUAACGACAAUAGCAUGGUAGCUGCGUUGCGUGCCAUGAUGCUAGCUGCAAAUCGGUCAUUCUACAGCCUGAAAAAUCAGUUCACCUCAAAGAACCUGUAGCGACGAACGAACCAGGCACCUAUAUAGUACCGGUACUCACAUACGCCACUGUCCAAAUCUGACGAAACCCUCUUAGCCGACUUCGAGAAGAAGAUGCUCAGAAGAAUACUUGGCCCCGUAGGUGUGGAAGGGCAAUGGAGGAGUCGUUAUAAUGACGAGCUAUACGAGAUGUAUGGCGACCUCACUGUCGUGCAGCGCAUCAAGCUCGCCAGUCGUGGUAGGCCCAAACCGACGUGGCAAGAUGGUGUGGAGGCGUCCGCCAUUAAGGCCGGGAAAACGGACUGGCAGACGAAGUCGUGAGGCCGUGAGCGGUUUCGGACACUCUUGAGGCAGGCCAAGACCGCAAAGCGGUUGUAGCGCCGGAUGAGUAAGUUAGUAAGUAGCUAAGUCGCAAGAGGCCGGAAAAGUGUGGUCUAUUUCUGAAAACUUGAAACGAGUCCGACGAGACCAGUCGAGUUACGAGGCAAACUCAGCUUAAUUUAUUUAUUUUUUUAAAUAUUGCCCUACUCGUUCGGACUCUCGUACUCUUCAGACUGAGCCAGAUCCGAUAUUGGAUUCGACUCCGAGAACGAUGGUUAUUUGCCCAUCACUCAUGUUCAGCGGGUAGCAGCGGCUAAAUUCCAUUACUGCACCAUUCGAGUACCAUUCGAGCAGCAGUUUCCCUCCCAAAUGUCAAAUGUGGAAUCAAAACAAAGCCAACCAGCUUGAUGGCGAGCUCUGUUUCAGGUGAAACAUUUCAUAAUACAAUAAUGAAAUGUUGAGGGAAAGUGGAAAAGGCGAAUAUAAUCAGCACUAAAAAAACCAAGGAUUCUUUGAACGUGACUUCGGGAAGCCCCUGCAAGGACAGAGCAACAACAGCAUUUUGGGCCAUUGAUUGCAGUUGGCACACAAGAUGAGUGGUACUAAGAGUGUUCCGGUUGGUACAAUGAUACCGCCACCCCUUGUUCCUUUGCCUAGUUGCCACGAGCGCGUAAAACAGGUACAGACGCGCCUGCUCAACGAUAUUCCCUUUCCGACGAGAUACAUAGCCAACUGCCGGCUCUGCUUGGGCACCAAAUUUGGAAACCAUAGCACAACCAUCAUUGACGAGCCGCUAGCCACCAUAAUGAGGAAUGUUUUUCCAUUUCCGGUAACGAACCAAAUAGGCCUACCGAUGAAUGUAUGCAGUGCCUGCUUCCAGUCGGUACAAGCGUUUCACUCAUACAGCAAUCUGGUGUUGGCAAACCAGCAGAAGCUGCAAGAAGCGCUGGCCUCAGCCAAGCAUGGCAUUGCUAACGAAGCUCCCCAAACCAUCGUCUCCACGGGGGGGAAAGCGCAAGCGAAUGUAGUAGAAAUUGUGUCCGGCAGUGAGGAUGAAUUCCAGGAAGACUACGAACAACACAUCCUAGACGAAUCUGGGCUGCAGCUGGAAGUGGAAACGAUUGAAGAAGGCCAUGAUCCGUUUUCGCCACCGCUGCGGGAAAGCACACCGGUGCGCGCUCCAGUCACCCCAGUCUCUACUGCUGCUGCUGCUGCUGCUACUGGCAAAAGCGGAAAAGCUGCAUUAGAGGAUAUCAUUUUUAUCGAUUGCGAAACAAACGAUAACGAUAGCGAUGUAGAAAUACUGUCGGAAGUUUUGGUGCCAUCCGCGACAGGGACACGCCUUACGCCCGGAAGCGACACGGGCCGUGCUGCCGCAAAGCUGCCAAUCACACCCGACGCAACGAAACGGACGGGGACGAAAGCGGUAUACAUUUGCAGCACCUGCAAUGAAACGUUCGACAAGCACUACGAUCUGAUGAUCCAUCAGAAAAAACACUUUAUGAAAGUGUGCCCAUUGUGCAAGCGGUCGUUCAAAUAUUCGGUUAUCAGGGAACACAUCAUUAAGGAUCACGGUGUGUUGAAAGAAAGUAACGGCCAAAAGAAAGCGUUUACAUAGGAGCGGUAGGGCGCGCAAAGGUAAAAUAGUGUUUUGUAAGUGUUAGCUCCCCCCACUCUUCGGUAUCACCUAGCGCAGGAUUGAGUUUGUAAAAAUAAAUUAAGUUUGAUCGAG